GGUUGGUUAGCUCAGCUGGUUAGAGUGUGGUGCUAAUCACACCAAGGUUAUGGGUUCAAUCUCCAUACUGACCA